CGAAUUCGGCUCUUCGGGAUAAGGAUUGGCUCUGAAGAUUGAGAUAGUCGGGCUUGAUUGGGAAGCAAUAAUAUGGUUUAUGUACUCGUUCUGGGUAAAUUAGAAUGAAGACAAUGUGUUAAACAUUGGAUUAAUUCGUUCCCCGGAUAGUAGCUUACGUAACCAAUUGCGGAACUUUCUUGCUAAUAAUAUAUUAGAAAUUUUUUAUUAAAAAUAUAUAUUUCUAACGGCUAUCAAUUAACAAUCAAUUCAGAACUGGCACGGACUUGGGGAAUCCGACUGUCUAAUUAAAACAAAGCAUUGUGAUGGCCCUAACGGGUGUUGACACAAUGUGAUUUCUGCCCAGUGCUCUGAAUGUCAAAGUGAAGAACUUCAAGUAAGCGCGGGUAAACGGCGGGAGUAACUAUGACUCUCUUAAGGUAGCCAAAUGCCUCGUCAUAUAAUUAGUGACAGGGAAAGAAGACCUGUUGAGCUUGACUCUAAUCUGGCAGUGUAAGGAGACAUAAGAGGUGUAAAUAAGUGGGAGAUAAUUGAUUAAACCCUUUUAUCAACAAUGAAAUACCACUACUCUUAUUGUUUCCUUACUUACUUGAUAAAAUGGAACGUGUAUUAUUUACUUAGCCAUUACACGAAUAUAUUUAUACAUUUUAUGGUAUUUUGUUUUGAUACGAGUUUUUCGAUCAAAAUACUAAGAGUUUGUUAUAUAUACCAAACAAAUUUAAUGAAUUUUUUUAUAUAUAUAUAUCACAAUUGUGUUUAUUAUAUAUAUUUAAAAUAGUAAUUGAAUUUGGUAUAACUCCUACACUCAGGUAUGAUCCAAUUCAAGGACAUUGCCAGGUGGGGAGUUUGACUGGGGCGGUACAUCUCUCAAAUAAUAACGGAGGUGUCCCAAGGCCAGCUCAGUGCGGACAGAAACCACACAUAGAGCAAAAGGGCAAAUGCUGACUUGAUCUCGGUAUUCAGUACAUACAGAGACAGCAAAAGCUCGGCCUAUCGAUCCUUUUGGUUUAAAGGGUUUUUAACAAGAGGUGUCAGAAAAGUUACCACAGGGAUAACU
rnacentral:rRNA from 1 species